AGCGAACGCUGGCGGCAGGCUUAACACAUGCAAGUCGAGCGCCCCGCAAUGUUAGCGGCAGACGGGAGAGUAACACGUGGGAACAUACCUUUUGUUUCGGAACAACUGCUGGAAACUUCAGCUACUACCGGAUAAGCCCUUACAGGGAAAGAUUUAUCGCCGAAAGAUUGGCCCGCGUCUGUUUAGCUAGUUGGUUAGUUAACGACUAACCAAGGCGACGCUCAGUAGCUGGCUUGUAAGGAUGAACAGCCUACCGGGAACUGAGACACGGCCAAGACUCCUACGGGAGGAAGAAGUGGGGAAUAUUAGACAAUGGGGAAAACCCGAAGCCAGAAAUGCGGCGUGAGGGAGGAAGGCCUUAGGGUUGGAAAGGCCUUUUGCCCGGGAAGAUAAAGAAGGGAACGGGAGAAUAAGGCACGGCUAAAUUCGUG
rnacentral:rRNA from 1 species